GCGAGUAUGGCCCUCACGGGUCUAAUCCACCAUAAACACCUUGUGAACCAGUCAGGGGGACUCGGCCAGUGAAAGCCCAGGCGAUUAGCGGAAGGGCCGUCCUUUGCAAACCCGUUUAGAAGUCUUGAAAGUACUUUUGUAUAAUCUAGUA
rnacentral:misc_RNA from 1 species